CAAAGAACAAGAGGAACAAGGAAGCUGCAUGUGUGAAGACAUGCACGACAGACGCAUUUUAUCAGAGCGGCAGCUAGGGAAGGGCCCUGUAUAACCUUAGCUUCGAGAACCCACGGGAAACGGACAUGACGGGGAAGCCACUGGUUUGCAUCAGGCGCAGAGGUCCAGGCGCACAAUUGGCUUGUUUGCUGUUACAGUCAGACCUUUAUUCCGCCGAGUCAAGUGUUCAUUGUAAAAUGUUGGACUCCGGAAUCCCGAAGACAGCCCCCUUUGUUGUUCGAAAGUGGUCGUGGAACGCAGAGUGCCGUGGGUUCAAAUCCUGACCCUGCCUCUCGCCAACACGGAAGCCUCUUCAGCCACUGUUCUGUGCUUCAGCUGCUCACGUCCUGAAGGCUACGACGGUACCCUCAUCACAGCUGUUCCCAUGUGCCUCACACCACAGCACAGGCACCUGUGGUAGACCGGUGCCACCUGCCAUUGCCGAAUCCUGUGAGCACCGACUUCACGCUUUCCCUUCAACGGGGGUCAGCUGCUUCUUACACACUCGGGACCCUGAUGGUUACACAGCGACACCGUGAAUGCAGGCUUAGGACCCGGGAGGCCCGGCUUGCCUGACGCCAUCUGCAAUGAGGUUGGGUAUCAGCAUGGUGUUCCUUCCCCAAUCUUCAUCUGUAAAGAGGAGAACACGCUGCUUUAUGGCACCAUCACAAGGGCUUUAGGAGCAACUAAAGCUUUUAAAGAGAGGCCACGGGUGUGCUAGGUCUGGACUUUAUGGCCACAAUGUCUGGGUCUGGAAUCCAGGCUCUGCCACCUAUCAUUUACGCAAACUUGGUCAGGGCAGGUUGUAAAUGAAAAUCAAGGUUGUCCUUAUUAAAUCUGCUGGAAGAUUGGUAAAAUUGUAUAAAGUAUUUGAUUCAAAGUGGACUCUCACAACUGAUGGUAGCUCUUACCAACUCAUUCAGACGACAGAUAAAAAUUCCCAUGAUUGUCUUUUGCAUUCUUGUGACGUCAUUCUAACAGAUGCUGCCUCAGCUGACUAGAUUUCACUUUCUGUGAUUUUUAUCUAUCGUGAAGUAGACCUGGAUCGUGCUAGCAACGUACUGUGCAUCUGCUGCACUGAACUGAGUGAAUUCAGAGGAAAGUGUCUUUACUCUAGGGCUUUUCUUUGCCUUGCGUUGUUGAAAAUUGGGAAGUGUUUCACCCCUGGGCUACAUUUAGGCCUCAGUGCUACUUCCGUGAUGGUUUGCCGGAGUCUUUAACUAUAUACAUUUCAUGAAGAAAAAGAAAUGGCUUCUUUGAAAAU